GGGUGUAUAUUCAUAUAUCUGGAUUGUUCAGUACUAGAACAGAGGCAUAUUCAUAUAUCUGGAUUGUUGAGUACUGGAACAGAUAUGUAACAUAUGAUGGGUUCACAUGAUUGAGUAGUUUAUACAGUUGAAGCAUGUUACUAUUGUGAGUUCUAAACGUGCUACAAUUGUAAUAUGUGAGAAGGCGAAGGAGAUAUUGAUGGAAGAAAGUAAUGUCCAGCCUGUGAAAAGUCCUGUGACGAUAUGUGGUGAUAUUCAUAGGCAAUUUCAUGAUCUUGCAGAAAUUUUUCGAAUUGGAGGGAAGGUAUUUGUUCUCACUAAGGAUAUUUUUUUUCAGUAUGGUAAUUUAUGUCUCUAUGUUCUAAUUUAAUUCAAUCUGUUUACUCUGCAUGCUGAUUCAAUUGGUAAUUUAGUUUCUAUUUUUUAGUGAUUAUGCUUGGUAAAUGAGGGUCAGGGACUCACAAUGUUGUGUGCAUACUGCACACUCAUCUAGAUUGAGAUGCAUCAUCAUACUAGGAACCAAUUUUCAGAGGAUAUCAUUUUCCUAUCUGUGCCCUUUUGGCUCCUGUGUGUACCAUUUUUUCUUUGUUAAUGAGGACACAUACAUCGCUGUGGUAAUCAUUGCAGAAACCCUAUUUCAAAUUGAGGUUUUUCAAUCUUUUUAUUAUGCUCUCUCCAGCCAGCAGCAGAAGAAUACCUCCCGAUCGGCAAUCGCUUCUCAUUCGACCGUCGAUUUCUCGGUUUACAAGAUAUCGAUCUGAAUGAUGGAACGGAAACGGAUCCCGCUCCAGAUUGGGAUGAUGAAGAGGAUGGUGAAUGGGAGGCUCCAAAGAUCGAUAACCCAGAGUGUGCAGCAGCCCCUGGCUGUGGAGAGUGGAAGAAGCCGAUGAAGAGAAACCCGGCUUACAAGGGAAAAUGGCAUGCCCCACUGAUUGAUAAUCUUAAUUACAAGGGCAUUUGGAAGCCACAACAGAUUCCAAAUCCUGAUUACUUUGAACUUGAGAAACCUGACUUUGACCCUAUUGCGGCUAUUGGCAUUGAGAUUUGGACAAUGCAAGACGGGAUCCUGUUUGACAAUAUUUUGAUAGCAAGUGAUGAGAAGGUUUUUAAUGUUUUUGGGAAAUCCAUUCCCUGGUUUUUAAUGUUUCCUGGGUAAUGCUAGAGUUGGCCUAGUAUUUCCUGGGGAUUGAUUAACUGUUUAGUUGAUGCACCAGGUUCCCCUGGAAAGUAGGGAAAGUCUAAAAUUCUGUUUCAAUUCCUUAGUUUUUCCAUUCCUCAGCUAAAAGCUGGGGCAAGUUUUCGAGUAAAAUCUGGGGAAUGGAAAUCCUGGGGAAUGUAAAAACCAACAAAAAAGUGUAAACCAAAUGUGUUUUCUUUGUAAUAGAAAUUACUGAAGCCGAGAAAUAUAGAAACCAGCAACCUAACACUCACUAAAACUCUCAACUUGGCCUUGCCAUUUACUUCUUAUAUACUGGUAACUUGCCAUUUAAUUUUUUGUUGUUAUUUGACUUGUCAUCCUCUAGUUACUUUAUUGUAUGCUAUACAAAGGUUGCUGGAAAUGAAAACCCUUCAACUCUUAUUUGCUUUGCAUCAAAGACUACCAAUGCAGGACAGAUUACACCGAAGUUACAUGUGAUUGAACUUGGUGCCCAACCAGGUAAGCCUGGUUUUACAAAGAAACAAGCAGAUCUUUUCUUCCCUCCAGACUUUGCUAAUGAUUUCCCAGUGGCAAUGCAGAUAUCCAAUAAGUACAGCCUGAUAUAUGUGAUCACAAAGCUUGGGAUUCUAUUUAUGUAUGACUUGGAGACCACUAAAGCAGUUUACAGAAAUCGAAUCAGUCCAGAUGCUAUAUUUUUGACUGCAGAAGCUUCAUCUGUAGGAGGCUUCUAUGAUGUCAAUAGGCGAGGGCAAGUGUUACUAGCAACUGUCAACGAAGUGACACUUGUGCCUUUAGUUUUUUCCAUUUAGUUAUGCUCUUUAGUUUUCAAUGUAUAUGCUUUGCUGGAUCCAAUUUUGAAUUGUUUGAUUUCCCCCAUACCAUUUGGCAGUGCAAGGGAUUUUUAUUUUUGAGGAGAUUAUUGAUGCUUCCCCUGUAUUUUCCAGGGCCGAAGUUUGAUGCUUGUGCACCUCGCUUCCAAAGGCCUAAAAUUGGUGGGCUUAGUCACUUUUUUUCACUGUAGACUUGGUAAUAUUUGCCUCUGAUUCCCUGGAAAGAAGCCAAUGGGAUUUUAAUUGUUUUGUGAGCAUGCGAUGCAUUCUGUGCUGAAUUCAGUGAAAGCAGAAACUUGUAAAAGAUCUGCUAUCAAGUUGCUGAGAUGUCGAUGUUUGAAAGGGCCCAUAUUUGCAAAAUACAAGAACUCACCUACAAAGGGUGUUAGGAGAUGACAACUUCCUAAUUGUCAGGUUUGCAAAUUUGGAUGAAAGCAUACCUGCUCCUAGUGUCAAUGAUCAUACUGCUUUGUAUCAUCGUGUUGCUUUUUUAGUGAGUUUUUAUUCUUUUUCUUUUUUAAACUUCCAAAGAUAUUGAAAAGUAUAAGUUGGGAGACCUUAAAUCUUUUCACUAUCUUAAAUAAUCGAAUUUCUAUGAGCUCGUUGGUGUAGCAAAACUAUAAAACAGGAAAAAUAUUAGUUGAACAGGCCAUAUCACGAGUAAAUCUGUAUUUGCUUAAAAAGUUACCUCAACAUCAUGAAUACUCAAA